rnacentral:rRNA from 1 species
CCUGGAGACUCCUACGGGAGGCAGCAGUGGGGAAUUUUGGACAAUGGGCGCAAGCCUGAUCCAGCCAUGCCGCGUGUCUGAAGAAGGCCUUCGGGUUGUAAAGGACUUUUGUCAGGGAAGAAAAGGCUGUCGCUAAUACCGACAGUUGAUGACGGUACCUGAAGAAUAAGCACCGGCUAACUACGUGCCAGCAGCCGCGGUAAUACGUAGGGUGCGAGCGUUAAUCGGAAUUACUGGGCGUAAAGCGAGCGCAGACGGUUACUUAAGCAGGAUGUGAAAUCCCCGGGCUUAACCUGGGAACUGCGUUCUGAACUGGGUGACUAGAGUGUGUCAGAGGGAGGUAGAAUUCCACGUGUAGCAGUGAAAUGCGUAGAGAUGUGGAGGAAUACCGAUGGCGAAGGCAGCCUCCUGGGAUGACACUGACGUUCAUGCUCGAAAGCGUGGGUAGCAAACAGGAUUAGAAACCCGGGUAGUCCUAG